UCCGUACGGAAUAAAAUAUAGGGUCGGGCCUGCCCACUGGUGUUUAUAUMUGAAGGGCUGCGGUAAUUUUGACCGUGCAAAGGUAGCAUAAUCGUCUGCCUUUUAAUUGAAGGCUGGUAUGAAUGGUCUGACAAGAGUAAAGCUGUCUUUAAGAUAAAAAUUGAAUUUUACUACUAUGUGAGAAGGCUUAAAUAAAAUGAAGAGAAGAUAAGACCCUAUAAAGCUUGAAUACGGUAAAAAUUAUAGUAUGAUUUAAAGUAUAAAAUUUUAGCUAGAAAUUUAUUUUGUUGGGGGGACAAUAAUAUAUGAAAAAGUAACUGUUAAAACGGUAAAAUAUAAUAAAUAUAAAAGAAAAUGAUCCUUUAAUAAGGAUUAAAAGGAAAAGUUACUUUAGGGAUAACAGCGUAAUUUUCCUUGAGAGUCCUUAUCGACAGGAGUAGUUGCGACCUCGAUGUUGAAUUAACAAAACUUUAUGGGGCAGUC
rnacentral:rRNA from 1 species